AAAAAUUUAAAUUAAUUUACUAAAAAAUUAAUAGUUAUGUUCUUUAAAUUUAAAAAAUUUGGCGGUAUUUUAGUCUUAUUAGAGGAACCUGUUUAUUAAUUGAUAAUCCACGAUUAAUUUUACUUAUUUAAUUAAUUCAUAUAUCGCUGUCAUGAAUAUAUUAAAAAAUUUAUUUUCUUUAUUUAUUAUUAUAAUUUAUGUUAAGUCAAGAUGUGGUUUAUAAAUAAGAAUAUAAUGGGUUACAUUAAAUUUUAUUUUUGGAUUUUAAAUGAAAAUUAAAAUGAAAUUGGAUUUAAUAGUAAAUUUAUUUAUUUUGUUAAUAUGAAGAAAGAUCUA
rnacentral:rRNA from 1 species